GACGAACGCUGGCGGCGUGCUUAACACAUGCAAGUCGAACGGAAAGGCCCUGCUUUUGUGGGGUGCUCGAGUGGCGAACGGGUGAGUAACACGUGAGUAACCUGCCCUUGACUUUGGGAUAACUUCAGGAAACUGGGGCUAAUACCGGAUAGGAGCUCCUGCUGCAUGGUGGGGGUUGGAAAGUUUCGGCGGUUGGGGAUGGACUCGCGGCUUAUCAGCUUGUUGGUGGGGUAGUGGCUUACCAAGGCUUUGACGGGUAGCCGGCCUGAGAGGGUGACCGGCCACAUUGGGACUGAGAUACGGCCCAGACUCCUACGGGAGGCAGCAGUGGGGAAUAUUGCACAAUGGGCGGAAGCCUGAUGCAGCAACGCCGCGUGCGGGAUGACGGCCUUCGGGUUGUAAACCGCUUUCGCCUGUGACGAAGCGUGAGUGACGGUAAUGGGUAAAGAAGCACCGGCUAACUACGUGCCAGCAGCCGCGGUGAUACGUAGGGUGCGAGCGUUGUCCGGAUUUAUUGGGCGUAAAGGGCUCGUAGGUGGUUGAUCGCGUCGGAAGUGUAAUCUUGGGGCUUAACCCUGAGCGUGCCUUCGAUACGGGUUGACUUGAGGAAUUUAGGGGAGAAUGGAAUUCCUGGUGGAGCGGUGGAAUGCGCAGAUAUCAGGAGGAACACCAGUGGCGAAGGCGGUUCUCUGGGCCUUUCCUGACGCUGAGGAGCGAAAGCGUGGGGAGCGAACAGGCUUAGAUACCCUGGUAGUCCACGCUGUAAACGGUGGGUACUAGGUGUGGGGUCCAUUCCACGGGUUCCGUGCCGUAGCUAACGCUUUAAGUACCCCGCCUGGGGAGUACGGCCGCAAGGCUAAAACUCAAAGGAAUUGACGGGGCCCCGCACAAGCGGCGGAGCAUGCGGAUUAAUUCGAUGCAACGCGUAGAACCUUACCUGGGUUUGACAUGGAUCGGGAGUGCUCAGAGAUGGGUGUGCCUCUUUUGGGGUCGGUUCACAGGUGGUGCAUGCCUGUCGUCAGCUCGUGUCGUGAGAUGUUGGGUUAAGUCCCGCAACGAGCGCAACCCUUGUUCACUGUUGCCAGCACGUUAUGGUGGGGACUCAGUGGAGACCGCCGGGGUCAACUCGGAGGAAGGUGGGGAUGACGUCAAGUCCUCAUGCCCCUUAUGUCCAGGGCUUCACGCAUGCUACAAUGGCUGGUACAGAGAGUGGCGAGCCUGUGAGGGUGAGCGAAUCUCGGAAAGCCGGUCUCAGUUCGGAUUGGGGUCUGCAACUCGACCUCAUGAAGUCGGAGUCGCUAGUAAUCGCAGAUCAGCAACGCUGCGGUGAAUACGUUCCCGGGGCU
rnacentral:rRNA from 1 species